rnacentral:rRNA from 1 species
CAAAACUUUCAACAAUGGAUCUCUUGGUUCCGGCAUCGAUGAAGAACGCAGCGAAAUGCGAUAAGUAAUGUGAAUUGCAGAAUUCCGUGAAUCAUCGAAUCUUUGAACGCACAUUGCGCCCUCCGGUAUUCCGGAGGGCAUGCCUGUCCGAGCGUCAUCAA